GACCAGGCAUCGGGGGUCCACAGGCCUGGGCACAGCUGUGCUGCCCCCGCUGUGAGGGGCACUGUGGCAGCACGUGCCAGUGUCAGAGGCUCAGGCUCUGAGACCAGCCCGGCUCCCGGAACUGGGCCUGUGGGGCCUGAACCAGGUGCCCUCGCCCCGGCCCCUCUCCUGGUCCGGGGCUAACCUGCAGGCUCCCCACCGCACCGAGCGGGGACUCUUUUCCCUUCUGGUGGCACGGUGGCCCACGAGGGGCAUGUUCUUUGGAUUCUUUUGGCUCCUGUUCAAGACCCAGCUGAUUCAGAAGGGUUGAGACCAAAGCUCCCCACACCGUUCCCCCCAUCCCACCCCCCUGAUGAAGAUGCCCACAGUCCGAAUGAGGAUGAACAUGGCCACCACCGGAACGAGGGUCAAGAUCCCAGCGCUCCCUAGAAAACGAGACCCCGAGGAAACUUGCUUGGGGAUUUUCCAUGGCAGACUUGCAAAUUUUCUUAAAAGUUUAAAGCAACAUAUCCAGACUGGACUGCUGUCAGGAGCUGCCUGACUUGAGGGGGG